UACGGGGGGGGCAAGCGUUGUUCGGAAUUACUGGGCGUAAAGGGCUCGUAGGCGGCCAACUAAGUCAGACGUGAAAUCCCUCGGCUUAACCGGGGAACUGCAUCUGAUACUGGAUGGCUUGAGUUUGGGAGAGGGAUGCGGAAUUCCAGGUGUAGCGGUGAAAUGCGUAGAUAUCUGGAGGAACACCGGUGGCGAAGGCGGCAUCCUGGACCAACACUGACGCUGAGGAGCGAAAGCCAGGGGAGCAAACAGG
rnacentral:rRNA from 1 species